UUCUGACACUCUCAGCCCCUUUUAGCCUGGCAAGCCUGAACUAUAAGAAGAGGACUUUUUCCUACAUUUUAGGGUCUGCAUUGCCCUGUGCAAGUUUCAAGAGGAAAACAAUAACAGGAAGACAGGGAAUAUUGGAAAUGUUUGUUAUAAAGUUGAAAAAAAGUCUCACCAAGCCUCAGAUGAUUUUUUUGUGGAUGAAAUGGAAGAAAAUAUUUCAAAGGAACUGAUUAAGCAUCAGAAACCAAAGUGAAGGGGUGGACAUAUGGAUGCUUGGAUACCUGUCUAAUACAUAAUCAAGAUAGAACUGAAGCUUACACCCAGCCCUGGUUAACUAACUUUAUGGUACUCAUGACUUGAAUCUAAAAAUAGCUUUAAGAUGGCUGCAUGGAUACUCCUCUCACUAAUUGUUUUCUAUAAUGGAUUUUGAGACCACAACUCUUCCGUGCUUCUUAAAGGCUUUCCCUGGGAGAAGUUGCAGGACGCGGCGGAAUUUCUUUCUUCUUUGUAUCUGUGUUGGCUAAAGCAGGACAGAAGAGCUUGAAAAGGCUCACCCUCCUCAAGGAACGCUAUCUGAUUCGUAAGCAUUCCUAGAGGUUAAGGCUGGUGACUAUCAAGAAAGCAAAUACUUCACGCAAGGAUGUUCAAAAUACUGACCCAGCUGGUGUGGAAGUUUCAUUUUUUCCAACUUAUGAUAAUGAAUUGAAUCAUAAAAAAAAAUCAUAAAACAUCUCCAUAUUGCAUCCAUGGAGAUUCAUUAGGACGAUUUGCACUAAAUGGAUUUUUACAUGGAAUGAAUUUCUUUUCCAAAGUUCAACGAGAGUCAAGACUACAUCCGUACACGUUUAGGAGCCAAAAAUUGUAAGGAAAGGAGAAAACACAUCUG